rnacentral:snoRNA from 1 species
CGGAUGAGCACCCCGCUCGGGCUCUGCUCCGGGCACAUGGGAGCUCAGGGCUCCGGCCCCCGACACAGCCCCUUUCCGCACCCCUGGAGAAGCAGCUGAGCCUGGGGUCUGCACACUCCCACGACUCCCCAGAGUCCCCUGGGCAGUGACGGAGGAGACAAGCCACGCAGGAAACAGAA